UACGUAGGUGGCAAGCGUUGUCCGGAAUUAUUGGGCGUAAAGCGCGCGCAGGCGGUCCUUUAAGUCUGAUGUGAAAGCCCACGGCUCAACCGUGGAGGGUCAUUGGAAACUGGGGGACUUGAGUGCAGAAGAGAAGAGUGGAAUUCCACGUGUGAGCGGUGAAAUGCGUAGAGAUGUGGAGGAACACCAGUGGCGAAGGCGACUCUUGGUCUGUAACUGACGCUGAGGCGCGAAAGCGUGGGAGCAACAGG
rnacentral:rRNA from 1 species